rnacentral:rRNA from 1 species
GACGAACGCUGGCGGCGUGCUUAACACAUGCAAGUCGAACGGAAAGGCCCUGCUUUUGUGGGGUGCUCGAGUGGCGAACGGGUGAGUAACACGUGAGUAACCUGCCCUUGACUUUGGGAUAACUUCAGGAAACUGGGGCUAAUACCGGAUAUGAGCUCCUGCUGCAUGGUGGGGGUUGGAAAGUUUCGGCGGUUGGGGAUGGACUCGCGGCUUAUCAGCUUGUUGGUGGGGUAGUGGCUUACCAAGGCUUUGACGGGUAGCCGGCCUGAGAGGGUGACCGGCCACAUUGGGACUGAGAUACGGCCCAGACUCCUACGGGAGGCAGCAGUGGGGAAUAUUGCACAAUAGGCGGAAGCCUGAUGCAGCAACGCCGCGUGCGGGAUGACGGCCUUCGGGUUGUAAACCGCUUUCGCCUGUGACGAAGCGUGAGUGACGGUAAUGGGUAAAGAAGCACCGGCUAACUACGUG